rnacentral:rRNA from 1 species
AGAGUUUGAUCAUGGCUCAGGACGAACGCUGGCGGCGCGCCUAAUACAUGCAAGUCGAGCGAGAACCAGGACUUCGGUCCUGGGGAGAGCGGCGAACGGGUGCGUAUCACGUGAGCAACCUGCCUCGGAGACCGGAAUAACUCGAGGAAACUCGGGCUAAUGCCGGAUGCCCUCGGUGGACCGCAUGGUCCGGCGAGGAAAUGGAUUCCGCUCCGAGAUGGGCUCGCGGCCUAUCAGCUUGUUGGUGGGGUAACGGCCUACCAAGGCGACGACGGGUAGCUGGUCUGAGAGGACGAUCAGCCACACUGGGACUGAGACACGGCCCAGACUCCUACGGGAGGCAGCAGUAGGGAAUCUUGCGCAAUGGGGGAAACCCUGACGCAGCGACGCCGCGUGCGGGAUGAAGGCCUUCGGGUCGUAAACCGCUUUCAGCAGGGACGAAAUUGACGGUACCUGCAGAAGAAGGCCCGGCCAACUACGUGCCAGCAGCCGCGGUGAUACGUAGGGGUCUAGCGUUGUCCGGAAUUAUUGGGCGUAAAGAGCUCGUAGGCGGUUCGGCAAGUCGGAUGUGAAAUCUCCACGCUUAACGUGGAGGGGCCAUUCGAAACUGCCGUGACUCGAGUCCGGUAGGGGAGUUCGGAAUUCCCGGUGUAGCGGUGAAAUGCGCAGAUAUCGGGAGGAACACCAGUGGCGAAGGCGGAACUCUGGGCCGGAACUGACGCUGAGGAGCGAAAGCGUGGGGAGCGAACAGGAUUAGAUACCCUAGUAGUCC